rnacentral:lncRNA from 1 species
AGUAACAUAGUCACACAAAUAAUUAUGGAUUUAAGAGAUUAAACCAACUAUUUAUAGCUUUUAGACACGUUCAACAGGCCCUGUCCAAAGGAAUUCAAAGCGACAAGUAUACGUAAACACAACAAGUAAAUAAAGACCAAGAAUUGAACAAAACAUGAAUCAAAUCAAUUAAAUCUCACAAAUACAUCACUAGAGUACACCAAAUCUUAACUAGGAAAAAAAUAAAUAAAUCAGCCACUCAUGGUGGACUUUUUAACGCAAGUGAGUUCUUGGAGAGUAAAGAGAAGAAGAAAGACAAAGAAAAAAAUUGAAGAAGCAAUAGAAGUUGUUGUGUGUGGCAUCAGGAAGAAGAGAGAUUAUCCUUUUACUUUGGUAGCUACCUGUUUUAUAGCCGUCAAGAGUCCAGGGUUUCUUUUUUUUUCUUUAUUUCUAAACCUGUUCCUUUAU